rnacentral:lncRNA from 1 species
GGAGACCAGCCUGGACACCACAAUGAAACCCAGUCUCUGCAAAAAAUACAAAAAUUUGCUGAGCGUGCUGGUGCAUGCCUGUAGUCCUGGCUACUCAGGAGGCUGAGGUGGGAGAAUCACUUGACUUGAUGUCGAGGCUGCAGUGAGCUGAGAUCGCACCACUCCUAGAUGAUAAGAGUGAGAGCCUGUCUCAAAACAAAGAAAAGAAAGAAAGAACGAAAGAGAAGAAAAUACAGGUAUUACGGCCUAGAGUCUCAUUGUGUUGCUCAGGCUGGAAUCCAGUGGCAUGAUCUCGGCUCAGUGCAACCUCCGCCUCCUGGGUUCAAGCAGUUCUCCUAGAUCAGCAUCAGCGUCCCGAGUAGCUGGGAUUACAGGCACCCGCCACCAUGCCUGGCUAAUGUUGGUCAGGCUGGCUCGAACUCCUGACCUCAAGAGAUCCACCUGCUUUGGCCUCCCAAAGUGCUCGGAUUACAGGCAUGAGCUGCCACACCCAGCCUCCAAAUACUUUUUUUUUAAAUCAAAAUAAUGAUUUCAAUGACUGAGAUCUGUUAUGUAUUUCAACAUAAUCAUGUUUCAUAAAGAUUUAGUCUUCUGAAAGCCAGUGUGAAUUGUUUUUUUUUCUACAAGUUUAAUCAAAACCAAACAAAAUCAACAAACCUCUACCCCCAAAUGUGGUACUGUUUCCUAAAAG